rnacentral:rRNA from 1 species
AUUGAACGCUGGCGGCAUGCCUUACACAUGCAAGUCGAACGGUAACAGGUCUUCGGAUGCUGACGAGUGGCGAACGGGUGAGUAAUACAUCGGAACGUGCCCAGUCGUGGGGGAUAACUACGCGAAAGCGUAGCUAAUACCGCAUACGAUCUAUGGAUGAAAGCGGGGGAUCGCAAGACCUCGCGCGAUUGGAGCGGCCGAUGGCAGAUUAGGUUGUUGGUGGGGUAAAGGCUCACCAAGCCGACGAUCUGUAGCUGGCCUGCGAGGACGACCGUCCACACUGGGACUGAGACACGGCCCAGCCUCCUACGGGAGGCAGCAGGGGGGAAUUUUGGACAAUGGGCGCAAGCCUGAUCCAGCCAUGCCUCGUGCAGGAUGAAGGCCUUCUGUUUGUAAACUGCGUUUGUACGAAACGAAAAGUCACUAUCUAAUAAAGAGGGAUCAUGACGGUACCGUAAGAAUAAGCACCGGCUAACUACGUGCCAGCCGCUGCCGUAAGAC